CACGUAGGGGGCGAGCGUUGUCCGGAUUUAUUGGGCGUAAAGAGCUCGUAGGCGGUUUGUCGCGUCUGCCGUGAAAGUCCGGGGCUCAACUCCGGAUCUGCGGUGGGUACGGGCAGACUAGAGUGAUGUAGGGGAGACUGGAAUUCCUGGUGUAGCGGUGAAAUGCGCAGAUAUCAGGAGGAACACCGAUGGCGAAGGCAGGUCUCUGGGCAUUAACUGACGCUGAGGCGCGAAAGCGUGGGGAGCAAACAGG
rnacentral:rRNA from 1 species